CCCCGGCUCUGGAUCUCCACCAACACCUCCCGCAUGCCGGUAACGGCGACGCGACGGCGCUGCUCGUCGGGGCGGCGGAGGGGCGGCACCUCCUGCUCACGGCAUCGCGGGCGCACCGGGAGCCGCGCUGUGCCAUCACCGUACGGUUACCGGAUGGGGGGGAGCGGUUACCGGCACUUCACGGCCGCUCCCCCCGGUAACCGCGUGGCCCCCCCCGCAGAUCUUCGUGGCCGAGGAGCGGCCCGAGCCCGUGGCCCGGCAGCUUCUCUUCCUUCUCCUGGCUACCGCCGAACCGCCGGGCAGCGCCGGGCUGCGGGGUAACGGGGAGCACCGG
ensembl:lncRNA